UAGAGUUUGAUCCUGGCUCAGGAUAAACGCUGGCGGCGUGCAUGAGACAUGCAAGUCAUACGGACGAUCGGGGUUCGCUCUGAUCGUUAGUGGCGGACGGCUGAGUAACGCGUAGGUGACCUGCCCCGAAGUGGGGAAUAACUGCCCGAAAGGGUGGCUAAUACCGCAUGUGGUGGUGCGUUCGAUCGCACCAGUAAAGCCGCAAGGCGCUUCGGGAGGGGCCCGCGUCCGAUUAGCUCGUUGGUGGGGUAACGGCUCACCAAGGCGACGAUCGGUAGGUGGUCUGAGAGGACGAUCACCCAGACUGGGACUGAGACACGGCCCAGACUCCUACGGGAGGCAGCAGUCGGGAAUUUUGCGCAAUGGACGAAAGUCUGACGUAGCAACGCCGCGUGAGGGAUGAAGGCCUUCGGGUUGUAAACCUCUUUUGUCAGGGAAGAUAAUGACGGUACCUGGCGAAUAAGUCACGGCUAACUACGUGCCAGCAGCCGCGGUAAUACA
rnacentral:rRNA from 1 species